GUUGCUUCGUCGUGGUGGUUCGUCACACCGGGUGGUACGUGCGUGCGUGCGUGCAAAGAGGGGAAAAAGACGACGACCCUAUCUGUGCCUUUCGCGCGGGGGUGGUGUGGACGAUGUGCGCGUGCCGAUAACGAUAAGGCCGCCGCAGGGAUGUGCCUAGCGGGGGGCACUCGAGCCCUCCUGCUCUUGGCGCUCGUGCUGUGCCAGCGUGCUGGCUGCGUCGAUGGCAAGAAUGACAACUACCAGAUGAGCGACAUCUGCAAGAAAUACUUCCUGCGGGAUCUCUACAGGAAGAUAGACGGCGCCGUUCUUACCUCACAAAAUGAGAGGGAUCUCGAUUGCGCCAUUACUUUCCAGACUCACAGCAUCCUCCAGCGGUUUAUGCUCCGAUUCGAUCAGCUGCAGUUAGACUGCAACGACCAUCUCUACAUCUACGAUGGUGCGCACGCGGUCGGCAGUUACAAGGCAGACCUAUCCUGCAGAAACACGAAGCAGACCGUGGGUGCGAUUUACACGCGUACAAACUUCGUGACGUUGAAAUACGUCACCGACGGCUGGGGCACCAGCUCGAAUGGCUUCCGCCUCGUCAUCACAGCCGUCAAGGAUCCGAAGCACACCUGCAAAGAUUUUCGAUGCACUCAGAAUGAAUUUUGCAUCGAGACGGAUCUUCUUUGUGAUGGCGUAAAUCACUGCGGCGACGAAUCUGAUGAGGCCACUUCCACCCUUUGUGCCAAUUCCGAGGCGUCGACGAUCCUAGGCAUGCAGACUACUUGGUUCGCCAUCGCCCUUGUUUUUCUGAUACUCAGCAUGGGCGGCUUGGUAACGGCGGCGGUUCUCUGCUUUUGCAGGCAGCGUGUUCCUACCCCGAGGCAUCCCCAUAACGCGCACAAUGCUCAGUCUCAUCCCCCAGUCAGCUUCCCAUUGCAACAGAUGUACGGAUCGAACGGAGCAAGCGUCGGUCUACCAAUGGGCAUGACCACGCUGAAGGGCACAACCGGUACUCUGGGGCCCCUGGGGAACUACGGCUCGGGGAUGGGAAUAACGGGGGCCACGACCCUGCCACGGCCGGGAAACUGGCUGCGCCCUGCGGGCCUCAGGCUCGGGCACAGCGCGGCCCGGGUCCGCCUCUACUGCCAGGCAAAGUGAGGAGCCAUGGUUCCGACAGCGACAUCUCCUCCAGCCAGAAAGACGAGUGGUUUGUGUAGAGGCAGGCCUGGACCAGAGCCCGCAGGGUGAAUCGGAGCGGUGGUGCCCUCACCGCCCCUGGGGGACGGGGCGACGCCAGACGUCGAAUCGUCUUCUGCUGAUAUCGGUCGCGUGUUAUCGGCGAACAUCGAGCCACAAGUAACGCAGACGCAAUUCCCAACCACCUUCUGACCUCCCUUAAGUACCAUGGAACCGCACCGGAAGUACGACCGAUACGGUCGAGAGGAACGGAAAAAUUCAAUUUCGACACGAAGAACAAUUGUGUAAAUCCUUUUUAUCUCGUUUUACGAAAGUCUAUAUGUUUUCCCAGAAGAAAUUUCAUCGUCAUAAAAUAGACGCGGAAUAUUGUUGAACGAUGAAGGUUGGUUAGGCAUUACACGUAGAUAAAAAAAAAUACGAAUGAAAAUAAAUAAGAUAGGCAAGAGAGAGAGAGAGAGAGAGAGAGAGAGAGAGAGAGAGAAAGAGCAGGAUCGAUAUUCCGAGUCGACAUUCGCGGAUUUGUUUGCAUCGCUAAUCAAGCUAUUAAUGAAGUAAACAGAUUUUUCGAACAGAUGAUCGAACGAAUGCUGAUUUUUCGAAAUUCGCUCGGGUGGAUAUAAGUAUACAAAUUGUUUGCAAGGGGGAGGGAGAAACGGGAUAUCGUCGACGUAAUGCGAGGCGCGAACACGCGGUCCGAGAGAUUAUUGGACAAAAAAUUAAUUACAAACAGUGUGAGUGUGCGUACGUAACGCGUGCGUAUGUGUGAGCGUGUGCGAGUGUGAAUAGAAUGGGAGUAAUAAAUACAC
rnacentral:misc_RNA from 1 species